AUGUUAGAAAGUUCUCCUUUUCUAAGAAGAAACAACUUCCGAAGACGAAGAAUCACUUUUUACGAAAUUUCUUCGCAUCUCUUUCUCGGCCUCUCUUCGAUCUUCAAAUACCAAAUCCAUGUGCCCUGCAAUAUCCUUCAAUCUCCAUCUCUUGCCCGUACGACCCUUUCCUCGCUGAAGAUUCCCGGGUCCUUCGAGAAAUCGGCAGCAUGGGGCAGGCCUUCCGCAAGCUUUUCGACGCCUUCUUCGGCAACUCUGAGAUGAGGGUUGUGAUGCUUGGCUUGGAUGCCGCUGGUAAAACAACGAUAUUAUACAAACUGCACAUUGGAGAAGUUCUAUCAACUGUUCCAACUAUUGGUUUCAAUGUCGAGAAAGUUCAGUAUAAGAAUGUCAUAUUCACGGUGUGGGACGUAGGUGGGCAGGAGAAAUUAAGGCCCCUGUGGAGGCAUUACUUUAACAAUACUGAUGGACUGAUCUACGUUGUUGAUUCUUUGGACAGAGAGAGAAUUGGAAAAGCCAAAGCAGAGUUUCAGGCCAUCAUCCGAGAUCCCUUCAUGCUGAACAGUGUCAUCUUGGUGUUCGCAAAUAAACAGGAUAUGAAAGGUGCGAUGACCCCAAUGGAGGUCUGUGAAGGCUUGGGUCUCUAUGAUCUGAAGAACAGAAUAUGGCACAUCCAAGGGACCUGCGCUCUCAAGGGCGAUGGCCUCUAUGAGGGGUUGGACUGGUUAGCUGGCACUUUGAAGGCAUUGCAAGCCUCUGGACGUUCCACUUCAGUGGGCACCUCUUCCUUCUAACUGCACCCAGGUUCAAUGACUUUCAUACAUAGCGUGGGCCCCACAUCUUCUCGGUACCAUAUAGUUUCUGUUCUGGCUGGAAUUGAUGGGUUUGGUGCGAUGAGCUGAAAGUAUGGGGGACCAUGACCAUGCGACAUAUGCCCAGUUUAAGUUGAAUUCUGUAUGUUCGACGUGUUGGGCUAAUGAAAAUUUAUUAGCUUAGUACCCACUGGCCUCACUGCACUUCUAUAAUUCCUUUGGAUUUUGUGUAUGGUUAAAAAAAAAAAAAGAAAAAAAAAAAACAAAUAUCACUAUGGGGCCCACAAUUCAGGCUGACGAUUUCAUCAAUGUGGGUGUUACUGAUAUUAUUGUUUGUUGCCAAAAUGGGUGGAUGGGGCCUUAUUAUCUGUUAUAGCUAGUGUGAAUGUGAAAUGGAGCCUUUCUUUCUU